rnacentral:rRNA from 1 species
GACGAACGCUGGCGGCGUGCCUAAUACAUGCAAGUCGAACGCACAGUUUAUACCGUAGCUUGCUACACCAUAGACUGUGAGUUGCGAACGGGUGAGUAACGCGUAGGUAACCUGCCUGGUAGCGGGGGAUAACUAUUGGAAACGAUAGCUAAUACCGCAUAAUAUUGAUUAUUGCAUGGUAAUUGAUUGAAAGAUGCUAUUGCAUCACUACCAGAUGGACCUGCGUUGUAUUAGCUAGUAGGGGAGGUAACGGCGCACCUAGGCGACGUUACAUAGCCGACCUGAGUGGGUGGUCGGCCAAACUGGGACUGAGACCCGGCCCAGACUCCUACGGGGGGGAGCAGUAGGGAAUCGUCGGCAAUGGACGAAAAUCUGACCGAACUACGCCGCAUGAGUAAAGAAGGUUUUCGGAUCGUGAAGCUCGGUUGUAGGAGAAGAAAGGGUGUGAGAGUGUGAAGUUCACACUGUGACGGUAACUUACCAGAAAGGGACGGCUAACUACGUG